rnacentral:rRNA from 1 species
AGAAUGAACGUUGGCGGCGUGGAUUAGGCAUGCAAGUCGAGCGGACCGGAGUAGCAAUACACCGGUCAGCGGCGAAAGGGAGAGUAACGCGUGGAUUAUCUGCCCUCGGGUCCGGGAUACCGCGGCACAACCGCAAGCAAUACCGGAUAACGUCAAAGGACCAAAGGUGUGAUUCCGCCUGAGGAUGAGUCCGCGUCCUAUCAGCUUGUUGGUGGGGUAACGGCCUACCAAGGCAACGACGGGUACUGGGUGUGAGAGCACGACCCAGCUCACUGGGACUGAGACACUGCCCAGACACCUGCGGGUGGCUGCAGUCGAGGAUCUUCGGCAAUGGGCGCAAGCCUGACCGAGCGACGCCGCGUGUGGGAUGAAGGCCUUCGGGUUGUAAACCACUGUCAGAGGGGAUGAAAUUCACGGGGGUUCUCCCCUGGGUUUGACAUAUCCUCAGAGGAAGUACGGGCUAAGUUCGUGCCAGCAGCCGCGGUAAGACGAACCGUACAAACGUUAUUCGGAAUCACUGGGCUUAAAGGGUGCGUAGGCUGUGCAGAAAGUUGGGUGUGAAAUCCCUCGGCUUAACCGAGGAACUGCGCCCAAAACUACUGUGCUAGAGGAAGACAGAGGUGAGCGGAACGUAGGGUGGAGCGGUGAAAUGCGUUGAUAUCCUAUGGAACACCGGUGGCGAAAGCGGCUCACUGGGUCUUUUCUGACGCUGAGGCACGAAAGCCAGGGGAGCGAACGGGAUUAGAUACCCCGGUAGUCCUGGCCGUAAACGAUGAGCACUGGGUUGGAGGGUCCUUCAUAGCCUUCCAGUCGUAGCGAAAGUGUUAAGUGC